UAAUGCGAUCACUUAGAGAAAUGGGUUUCAGAUACUUCAUAGUUUAGAGUCUCACCAAACAAAGCCUUCAAAGGAUCAGCUGUAGGUGACCGGCAGCUGCACAUACGGUUAUGAUGCUGGUAACCGUGGAGUCUACAAGUGCGUGUGGGUGACCCAAACCCACAGUUGCUCAUGAACUGCUUUCAGCCAAAUAAAAGUCCCAGGCUUUCAGUGACGGACCCUGAGCUGUAGGAACAAACGAUUCUCUGCAGCUGCCGUCUCCGCGUGCACACGGCGGCUCCCAUGGCCACGGACAGCCCCAACAGACUGAUUUAAAAAUGGAAACAACUUCUUUGGGUGAACAGCGGAGAGCACAGCGCCGCCGGGGCGAGCCGGGCACGCGUCCACGCAGCCCCGCCGAGGUCCGCCGCCUGAGGUCCUGCCGUGGCUCCCGCGCAGCCUGUGGCUCCUCGUGGUCACUCCCGCAAGUCCGAGUCCGGGGAGAGUGUGCGAGCAGCGGUGGGGUCGCUACACUACAGUCCCACCUGGAGAACUGGCCUGGUUUGGGGACGACAAGACGCCCUGCAAACAAAGCAGUUUACAUUAAUCCAGCACAACACCGGCAGCGAGGAAGCCAGAGCUCGCCCUCCGCCAGUGUCUCGCGAGAUCAGAACUAGUUUCUGCUGGUUUGGAAGCCAGUGUUCAACAAACCCUGCACUUCAUCCAUUCAGUUCCUAUCCAGAUUACUGCAUCACAUUCCUAACGCUCGGAACCCUGCGUAGCUGUGAUAUUUGGGCCUCAACACGGCCCAGGAGUAGGGCGGACGGGGUGGCCUUGGUCUCUGGGGGAGCAAGUGGUCUCUUAGGGACGGAGGAGCCUGGGCUCUUUGGAGCUUCACUGGCCCAAAGGUACGAGGCGCCUGCUGGGGGCUGUCCAGCGCCUUCGGCCAGGGCGGCAACUCGGCCACACAGAGGGUCCCCACAGCUCCGACGGGAGCUCUGGAGCAGCCCAAGGCACUGCAAUUCUGGACCACACACCCUCCCCAGGGCUUGCCGGGGAUUCUAGCUUUCUCAGGGGGUGGUGGGAAGGUGGCACCCCUCUGCCUUUGGGUGACCUCAAAUGUGUAGGGCCCCGCAGGUGGGAAAAGGAGGACCCAGGCCAAGGAGGUGGACAGCCCAGAGCAAAGCCCAGUCCGGCCCUCAGGCUGCAGCUGGAUGCGCAGAAGGGAUGUGCUAAUCCACACAGGACACCGGUAAGAACAGGGACUGUCUGUCCCUCCAGGGUGGCUCCCACGGUGCAGGUGGGCCAGAGAGGCAGGAGGCUCUCACCUGC